CCCAAAUGUAAAUAAGGGCUUUAACCCUGUUGACUCUUUUAUCUUCUCAUUCUUCUUCAAGGACAUCACUGCAUGCAGCCUCUCCAUCACCAGUCGAAGAACAGCCACCGCCGCUGGCGUAGCCAUCGCUAAGACUGCUGCUGCCUCCCUCCUGUUACAACAAUCGAAGAACCAAGCUGCCGCCUCUACCUGUUGCUGUCGACGUCAACCACCGACUCGCCUCUCCCCUGUUUUCUCCCCUGUUGCUGAGACACAGAGAGAAAUCAAAUCACGGGUAAAAAGAGGGAACCAAACUCCUCAACUGUUUAAUCACCAGAUUCUGGUUAGCUUCAUUAACGCUUCUUUCCUUAUUUGAUUUUAUUGAUGCAAUUACAUUUAUCUGAUGCUAGGUUUGGAACUAUUGAGUGAUUCGGUUGCGCAUGAACUCCUUUCUCCACUUUUCUCAUUUUGUUUUCUGCAUCGAUGUUUGAAUUCUGUGUUACAUUGCUAUUGAAUCACCAUGGUUGAUAGUUUCAACGAUGUUAUAAUAAUGACUUUGAUAUUAAUUAGUUCUGAAGCUUUUCAUAUACUCCUAUGAUUAAAUCUUGUUGCAAUUUAAUAGAUGAAAAGCAACAGCAUAUUUUAGUGAAGCUGUAGAUUCAAGAAAUGUAGUAUAGGAAUCUUGGGAAAGUUUUUUGGAGGUUUUUACAGGGUAAUGCUUUUUUUUUUCAAUUAUUAUUUAAAAAUAUUGAAAUGAAAUGUUGUGGUAUUGUUUCUUUUUCUUCUUUCAUUGUUUUCUGUAGUUUUGAUGUAAAAUCUUGGGUUUUUUGUUUAUUUUAUUAUUAUUUUUUAAAGGUUAAUAUAUGGGAUGCAGGGAAAUGACUGUAUUCACAUAAGCUGAUACAAAUCUAUUUUUCUUUCUUUAAUGUCCGUGUUUUGAUCUUCAGUAUAAUCUUGGGGGAGUUCUUUCAAGGUGUUCAUUUUAUUUGGCCAAACAAAGAUGGUUUUCAUGUUAACUAACUAAUUCAAUUUUCAUGCUUAAAGUUCCUCUUUUUAUAUAGGUCAUAAAUGAAUAUUUUGGUUUGUUUAAGAGGAUAAAUUUUGACAGUGUAUUUGAUUUGGGGGGCAUUAUAAGAAAUGGAUGAACUUUGUAUAUGAACUUUGUAAUGGGGAAAUGUGUGUGCUUCCCGUGUUCAUUUUGCAUCGCCCGACAAAUCAUUGGUAGUUUGGUACUGUCUUGAGCUAAAGAGUUCAGUUUUGUAAUUAGUGAACUUUGAUUGGUUACCUCGUUGAUCUAUUUAUACCGUCUCGGCAAGAACUAUAUUGUUUAUCCCUGAUUGGUUAUUUCCAAGGCUAAUAUACCUCGAUCUAGUUAUGUUAUGUUGUGCUAGUUCAUAUAGGAGUUUCAGGUAGUCAAACAUAUUAUGAUUUCUAAUUGGGAAGUGGAUUGAGCUUUUUAUAGACUAUAGUUGUGCAGGAGCUAUUUAUAGUUGUGACCGGUGAACCAUCAACUUGAUGCUUUUUUAGCACAGUCCAGAAUCACAAUUCACAACUUGAAUGGCUAAUGGAUCUACCGCCUCUAGUUUUAAUAGUAUGCAGUGACAACAAAAUCUCAUUUUAUAUACUGAGUAGACUUUGCUCGUAACAAUAUCCCCCACCCGACAUUAUAUUAACAUAAGUAGAAAGAAUAUGAUUCCUCCUUGGCAGAAAUAAUGCUUCAUGUGUUUGAUGAAUACUCUUUCGAAUUGUUGGUUUCAACCAAAGUUGCAUAAUCACUCUGCUCUAAGAGUUUUGUUUUUAUUUAUUUAUUUUUUUU